UUACGGCCAUAUCACGGUUAAACACGGGAUCCCGUACGAUCACCGAAGUUAAGCAACGUCCAAACUUAUCAGUACCUAGAUAGGUUACCGCUUGGGAAUACAAGAUG